rnacentral:rRNA from 1 species
GAUGAACGCUGGCGGUAUGCUUAACACACGCAAGUCGAACGGACUCUUCGGAGUUAGUGGCGGACGGGUGAGUAACGCGUGAGAAUCUGGCUUUGGGUUCGGGACAACCACUGGAAACGGUGGCUAAUACCGGAUGUGCCGAGAGGUAAAAGAGAAAUUGCCUGAAGAUGAGCUCGCGUCUGAUUAGCUAGUUGGUGAGGUAAAGGCUCACCAAGGCAGCGAUCAGUAGCUGGUCUGAGAGGAUGACCAGCCACACUGGGACUGAGACACGGCCCAGACUCCUACGGGAGGCAGCAGUGGGGAAUUUUCCGCAAUGGGCGAAAGCCUGACGGAGCAAUACCGCGUGAGGGAAGAAGGCUCUUGGGUUGUAAACCUCUUUUCUUAGGGAAGAACAGAAUGACGGUACCUAAGGAAUCAGCAUCGGCUAACUCCGUG